GUGUCAGCCGCCGCGGUAAUACAGAGGUGGCAAGCGUUGUUCGGAAUUAUUGGGCGUAAAGAGCACGUAGGUGGGUUUGUAAGUCAGAUGUGAAAGCCUUCUGUUCAACGGAAGAAUUGCAUCUGAAACUGCGAGUCUUGAGUGUAGGAGGGGAGAAUGGAACUUCUGGUGGAGCGGUGAAAUGCGUAGAUAUCAGAAGGAACGCCGGCGGCGAAAGCGAUUCUCUGGCCUAUUACUGACACUCAGUGUGCGAAAGCUAGGGGAGCAAACGGGAUUAGAUACCCCGGUAGUCCUAGCCGUAAACGAUGGGCACUAAGUAGAGGGAAUUACCGAUGUUCUCUCUGCCGUAGCUAACGCAUUAAGUGCCCCGCCUGGGGAGUACGGCCGCAAGGCUAAAACUUAAAUAAAUUGGGCGG
rnacentral:rRNA from 1 species